UACAGAGGGUGCAAACGUUGUUCGGAAUUACUGGGCGUAAAGGGCUCGUAGGCGGCCAACUAAGUCAGACGUGAAAUCCCCAGGCUCAACCUGGGAACUGCGUCUGAUACUGGAUGGCUUGAAUCCGGGAGAGGGAUGCAGAAUUCCAGGUGUAGCGGUGAAAUGCGUAGAUAUCUGGAGGAAUACCGGUGGCGAAGGCGGCAUCCUGGACCGGCAUUGACGCUGAGACGCGAAGGCAUGGGGAGCGAACGGG
rnacentral:rRNA from 1 species